UACGAAGGGGGCUAGCGUUGCUCGGAAUCACUGGGCGUAAAGCGCACGUAGGCGGAUUUUUAAGUCAGGGGUGAAAUCCUGGAGCUCAACUCCAGAACUGCCUUUGAUACUGGGAAUCUCGAGUCCGGGAGAGGUGAGUGGAACUGCGAGUGUAGAGGUGAAAUUCGUAGAUAUUCGGAGGAACACCAGUGGCGAAGGCGGCUCACUGGUCCAUUACUGACGCUGAGGUACGAAAGCGUGGGGAGCAAACAGG
rnacentral:rRNA from 1 species